GGACUCACUUCAGCAGCACAAAUACUGAAUUUGGAACUGCGCAGAAAAAUUAGCAUGGCCUCUGCACAAGGAUGACACACAAAUUUGUGAAACAUUCCAUGAAAAA